UAGCAGAAAGAAAGUAAUCAAUCAACAAAUCAUCUAUCGGCAGCAGGCGUGUGGAGCAACAUCCAGCGAUCCUUCGAGUCCGGGAAGGCACACGCCGAGGGCGAGACUGGUGAGCAGGUGGCGCAGGCGGCACAGAACGCGGCGACCGCCACCAAGGGAUCCGCCGUCCAGGCAGGCAUCCAUCCGUAUGAAAAUCUGAAUAUAUCAUUCGACUGAGCAGUGAAGGUGAAGCAUUGCCUGGCUGAAGCUGCAUUUUACGCGCCUUCGUUCUCUGUUUCAUGUUUCUUUCGACUAACCUGGUUGUAACAAACAUAUGCAUUUGUUUGCUCGAAGAUUCCGAAAUGUUGUCACGCUGAACAACAUUCCACAUCCGUGAUAACAGUUUAUCGCAUGACUUGCACUGUAAUUUUUAGCUUCCGCCAAACUGUAUUUCUUGGGGUACAUUUUACUCCAAGUCAGUUUUAGCUGAUAACUGUAUUUCACAUGCUAGAUGUAGUUACAUCCUAGCUAAUAUACUUUCAAAUUUAGUUUUUGCUAAUGAACGCAACACUUCCCGAA